rnacentral:rRNA from 1 species
UACGUAGGGUGCAAGCGUUGUCCGGAAUUAUUGGGCGUAAAGAGCUCGUAGGCGGUCUGUCGCGUGUGCUGUGAAAACUCAGGGCUUAACCCUGAGCUUGCAGUGGGUACGGGCAGACUAGAGUGCGGUAGGGGAGACUGGAAUUCCUGGUGUAGCGGUGAAAUGCGCAGAUAUCAGGAGGAACACCGGUGGCGAAGGCGGGUCUCUGGGCCGUAACUGACGCUGAGGAGCGAAAGCAUGGGGAGCGAACAGG